UCUGGUUAAUGUCUGGACUAGUUCUGGAUAAUGUCUGGAUCAGGUCUGGUUAAUGUCUGGACUAGUCCUGGAUAAUGUCUGGAUCAGGUCUGGUUAAUGUCAUGACUAGGCAUGGAUAAUCUCUGGAUCAGGUGUGGUUAAUGUCUGGACUAGGCCUGGAUAAUCUCUGGAUCAGGUCUGGUUAAUGUCUGGACUAGGCCUGGAUAAUCUAUGGAUCAGUUCUUGUUAGUGUCUGGACUAGGCCUGGAUAAUGUCUGGAUCAGGUCUGUACUAGGCCUGGAUAAUCUCUGGAUCAGGUCUGGAUAAUGUCUGGACUAGGCCUGGAUAAUGUCUGGAUCAGGUCUGGUUAAUGUCUGGAAUAUGCCUGGAUAAUCUCUGGAUCAGUUCUGGUUAUUGUCUGGACUAGGCCUGGAUCAUCUCUGGAUCAGGUCUGGUUAUUGUCUGGAUCAGGUCUGGAUAAUGUCUGGACUAGGCCUGGAUAAUCUCUGGAUCAGGUCUGGUUAUUGUCUGGACUAGGCCUGGAUCAUCUCUGGAUCAGGUCUGGUUAUUGUCUGGAUCAGGUCUGGAUAAUGUCUGGACUAGGCCUGGAUAAUCUCUGGAUCAGGUCUGGUUAUUGUCUGGAUCAGGUCUGGAUAAUGUCUGGACUAGGCCUGGAUAAUGUCUGGAUCAGGUCUGGUUAUUGUCUGGACUAGGCCUGGAUCAUCUCUGGAUCAGGUCUGGUUAGUGUCUGGACUAGGCCUGGAUAAUCUCUGGAUCAGGUCUGGUUAAUGUCUGGAUGAAGCCUGGAUAAUCUCUGGAUCAGUUCUGGUUAGUGUCUGGACUAGGCCUGGAUAAUGUCUGGAUCAGGUCUGGUUAAUGUCUGGACUAGGCCUGGAUAAUGUCUGGAUCAGGUCUGGUUAUUGUCUGGACUAGGCCUGGAUAAUCUCUGGAUCAGGUCUGGAUGAAGCCUGGAUAAUCUCUGGAUCAGGUCUGGUUAAUGUCUGGACUAGGCCUGGAUAAUCUCUGGAUCAGGUCUGGUUAUUGUCUGGACUAGGCCUGGAUAAUCUCUGGAUCAGGUCUGGUUAAUGUCUGGACUAGGCCUGGAUAAUGUCUGGAUCAGGUCUGGUUAAUGUCUGGAUCAGGUCUGGUUAAUGUCUGGAUCAGGUCUGGAUAAUCUCUGGAUCUGGCCUGUGACUCUGUAGAGAACACUGUGAGAAGCAAAGUUUAGACACCAAGCAGGAAGCAGCAGAGAAACCGUCGUCUCAACACAAACCACUUCCUCCUGACCCGUUUCAGUUCACAUCGACUCCACUGUGCUGAUGAAGACAAGCAGAAAACACGUGUAGACAACCAGAACCUCCUUGUUGCUGGAGUUUUGCGUGUUUCUGCAGCUUGGCAGCUUGUUGCUCUAAGAGAACAUUUAAUCUUUGGUUACACUGGGCCUGUUGUGGGUCUCUGCGGUUUGGUGUGGUGGGUUUUGCCAGUGUUGUCACUCUCAGUGCUCCUCUACAGAAGCUGUGAACUCCACCCAGAGAGCAGGAGGCCUGCACACAACCCUCCAGAGGCACUCGCUGGGAGAUGCAGCAGCAAUGCAUUCUGGGAGAUGCAGCAGGGAAAGUUCAGGUGUGUUGCAAGACAGAAAUCUGUGAAAGUGAAGAUAGUGCAAGAGUCUCGCUCCACCCCCUCCCCACAUCUUUGAUUUAAAUACAAAGUGAGGACCUUGCCUUGACUUCCAUUCAUUUUCACCCCUUUCUGUGGUUUUACCCUAACCCACCCUACCCUGUACCACUAUAUACCUGAGCCUACCCUAUACUGUACCAGUGUUUACCUAAUGACCGCUCAUACUGAGCCUGGUUCUGGUUCUGAUGGAGGUUUUCCUUCCCGCUAAUGGAUGGUUUUUCUUCCCACUGUC